CCCUUAGAUGUUCUGGGCCGCACACGCGCUACACUGAAGGAGGCAGCGUGUACUCCUGGAUCGAAAGAUUUGGGUAACCCGCGAAUCUCCUUCGUGCUAGGGAUUGAGGUUUGCAAUUAUCCUUCAUGAACGAGGAAUUCCCAGUAAGUGCACGUCAUAAGCUUGCGCUGACUACGUCCCUGCCCUUUGUACACACCGCCCGUCGCUACUACCGAUUGAAUGAUUUAGUGAGGACUUCGGACUGGGACCGAUGCGGCUUUCGGGCUGCGUCGGUAUUCUGGAAAGAUGUCCAAACUGUAUCAUUUAGAGGAAGUAAAAGUCGUANCA
rnacentral:rRNA from 1 species